CCCUUAUCUGUCACCUCUUCCAUCUGUCUCUGCCUGAUAUGUGCUGCCAGCAGUGCCCUGAGCCAGCCACCCCCUCCAGUGCCCUGCAGUGGGGCCAGAGCACCUCUGAUGGAGGGUGACCUUGGGUUUUGGAGCAGACCUUCCCCCUGCUGCCACUGGCCCCGUGGGUGCUCCCACAGCGGGGUGGACCAGUGCCAGGAAGAACCCCCUCCUCGUCUGGGCGAGAUUUCCACACCUCAGUGGCGGUGGCGAGCGCUCUGCAUGGCUCGCAUUGAAAUGAGCUCGGCAGGCGGGCAGCGCUAGCGGGGGGCUGCCACCCAUCCCCUCUGCCAGCCCGCCCCGCGGAGCCGCUGAUGUUUUUGGGAAGGAGUCAUUUGCCUGCCGUGGGGUUGGGGUUUCUGGCUCCGGCGGGAGCUGCGGUGUUGGGGUUUCCUGUUUACCCGCGCAGCUGUGCCGGCGGCUGCAGGGAGGUCGGGGCUGGACCUCGGCCGGAGCAUCCCCAGCGCCAGAACAUCGCCGGUGCCCGAAGUGGCUCCGGGGUCCAAGGCCUGCCUGCGGAACCCCAACCAGCAAAAGGCUUUUUAUGAAGGCAGCGGAGCGAUCCGCUGGUAGAUGCUGCACGCGCAUAAUUAAUUAAAUAGCAUAAUUAAUAA